rnacentral:rRNA from 1 species
AGCGAAUAGAUACCCCGGUAGUCCACGCCGUAAACGAUGAGCACUAGGUGUGGGUGGUGUGAAAAAACUAAAUCUGUGCCGAAAGUCAACGCGCUAAGUGCUCCGCCUGGGGAGUACGGCCGCAAGGCUAAAACUCAAAGGAAUUGACGGGGGCCCGGCACAAGCAGCGGAGCGUGUGGUUUAAUUUCGAUGUGACGCGAAGAACCUUACCUGGGUUUGACAUGCACGUAGUAGUGAAGCGAAACGCGGAACGACCCUUCGGGGUAGCGUGCACAGGUGCUGCAUGGCUGUCGUCAGCUCGUGUCGUGAGAUGUUGGGUUAAACGUCCCGCAACGAGCGCAACCCUUGUCGCUAGUUACAAGUGUCUAGCGAGACUGCCGAUAUCAAGUUGGAGGAACGGUUGGGGUAUGACGUCAAGUCAGCAUGGCC